rnacentral:rRNA from 1 species
UACGUAGGGGGCAAGCGUUGUCCGGAUUUAUUGGGCGUAAAGAGCGUGUAGGCGGCCUGAAAGGUCAGCUGUGAAAACUCGAGGCUCAACCUCGAGACGUCGGUUGAAACCAUCCGGCUAGAGUCCGGAAGAGGAGAGUGGAAUUCCCGGUGUAGCGGUGAAAUGCGCAGAUAUCGGGAAGAACACCCGUGGCGAAGGCGGCUCUCUGGGACGGUACUGACGCUGAGACGCGAAAGCGUGGGGAGCGAACAGG